rnacentral:rRNA from 1 species
UACGUAGGGCGCAAGCGUUGUCCGGAAUCAUUGGGCGUAAAGAGCGCGUAGGCGGUCCGGUAAGUCCGCUCUGAAAGUCCGGGGCUCAACCCCGGGAGGCGGGCGGAUACUGUCGGGCUAGAGUCCGGAAGAGGCGAGUGGAAUUCCUGGUGUAGCGGUGAAAUGCGCAGAUAUCAGGAGGAACACCGAUGGCGAAGGCAGCUCGCUGGGACGGUACUGACGCUGAGGCGCGAAAGCGUGGGGAGCAAACAGG